CUUAACAAUAUAAAGAUCGAAUUUUCGACACAGGUGUGGAUCGUCUUGACAAAGAUCUGACGAUUGGUCAAAUGCAAGGUAAAUUUCAGAUGCAAGUAUUACCACGCUGCGGUCAUUGCGUUCACGAGGAUGCCUCGGACAAAGUGGCAGAAGUCUUAGUGACAUUUCUAAUGCGGCUGAAACUCGCUGUGACAAAGGAGAACUUUCUGAGACCUAUGCCGGCGUGCUAGUCGUGGAUCGUAUUUCUUCUUUUUGUCAAACCAGUACGAGCAGGAGAGAGUUUUGCCAAGUUCAUUUAAUCUCUGUUAAGAAGCCUUUACACGUAAGGUUCUCUUUCUG